GAUGAAGAACGUAGCGAAAUGCGAUACUUGGUGUGAAUUGCAGAAUCCCGUGAAUCAUCGAGUCUUUGAACGCACAUUGCGCCCCCUGGUAUUCCGGGGGGCAUGCCUGUCCGAGCGUCAUUGCUGCCCUCAAGCACGGCUUGUGUGUUGGGCCUCCGUCCUCCUCCCGGGGGACGGGCCCGAAAGGCAGCGGCGGCACCGCGUCCGGUCCUCGAGCGUAUGGGGCUUCGUCACCCGCUCUUGUAGGCCCGGCCGGCGCUUGCCGACACAUCAAUCUUUUUUCCAGGUUGACCUCGGAUCAGGUAGGGAUACCCGCUGAACUUAAGCAUAUCAAAAGCGGAGGA
rnacentral:misc_RNA from 1 species